rnacentral:rRNA from 2 species
UGCGGUGACGAUACGAUGCUGGAAACACCUAUUCCCAUCCCGAACAUAGCAGUUAAGCAGCAUUGGGUUAUCAUUGGAUAAUAUCGCCGCGC